ACCAAAAAUCUGCCAUAAAAAGUUUUGAAAAGGUAAAAUUUAUAAAAGCCCCAAUGGAGUUUGAACUCAUGACUAACAGAUUUGUAGUCAACACCAACCCAUUGCACUAUACUGUAAAUUAAUAAUUUUGCAGAAGAAAAGAUUAAUGAAAUUAUACAUUAUUUUAUAGUAUAUAUGGAUCAGAAAUGUGUCACAAUAUUGAGGUGUCCCAUACCAACUUAAAAAUUCUAGAAAAUUUAGGUUCUCUUUUUUAUGAGUAAAUAUAUACAUGUACCUGAUAUUAUCAUUUAUUGAUCAUAAAAUUGAUUAUAUUC
rnacentral:sRNA from 1 species